AUUGAACGCUGGCGGCAGGCCUAACACAUGCAAGUCGAGCGGAUGAAGGGAGCUUGCUCCUGGAUUCAGCGGCGGACGGGUGAGUAAUGCCUAGGAAUCUGCCUGGUAGUGGGGGAUAACGUCCGGAAACGGGCGCUAAUACCGCAUACGUCCUGAGGGAGAAAGUGGGGGAUCUUCGGACCUCACGCUAUCAGAUGAGCCUAGGUCGGAUUAGCUAGUUGGUGGGGUAAAGGCCUACCAAGGCGACGAUCCGUAACUGGUCUGAGAGGAUGAUCAGUCACAGUGGAACGUAGAAACGGGCGAGACACCUACGGGAGGCAGCAGGGGGGAAUUUUGGAGAAGGGGCGAAAGCCGGAACCAGCCUGGCCGGGGGGGUGAAGAAGGUCUUCGGAUUGUAAAGCACUUUAAGUUGGGGGGAAGGGCAGUAAGUUAAUACCUGCGUGUUUGGACGUUACAAAAAGAAUAAGCCGCGGCUAACUGCGU
rnacentral:rRNA from 1 species